CUAGACGUUAGCCUCCUUAUAGAAAUAAGGAUGAAGAUAUAGUCCAAUGCACGUAGUAAUACGUGGAAAACAUGCGUGAGACAGGUUGGUCUCUAUCUGUUACGGGCGUUGACACUUGAGGGGAGUCGUCCCUAGUAAACGACAAAUUGCUACUUCGCGAAGUAAUUCGCGAUGACAAUUCGGCUAAUAACGGUGGAAUCUUUGAAUGGUUUUGGUCCGUUGAUAACCAUCUAUUGCUGCGGUCCAGCGAUAUGUGGUACAAUUUACCUGCCUGCCGGCAGGCAGGCUUGAGGACCAGGAUUAUCAAAGACAAUACCGUGGGAAGUCAAUCUAAAGUUAAUUUAGCUUAUAUCGCCGGUUUUUUAGACGGCGAUGGCAGUCUGAUGCUUCAAAUUAAGAAGCGUAAAGACGGUAAAUCAAAGCGACGGUUCAUGUGCACUAUCUGUUUCUAUCAGGAUAGCCGCCACGAGAAGCCGCUUUACUGGAUUAGGAGAAUUCUUGGCAUCGGCUACUUAUCGCGUCGCAAUGAUGGGAUGAGUGAGUUGAGAAUAAAUGGCUUUAAGCAAGUCCGGGAUAUUAUUAAGGAUUUGUUGCCGUUUAUCAGAUUCAAGAAAGAACAGGCGAAAUCAUUGCUUAAGGCGGCCGAUCUUUUAACAAAGAAGAGCGGCAAUCUAAGCAAAAACGACCUGUUUAAACUAGUGGAUUGCAUAGUUGUUAUUCAAAAAAACAAUUACGCGACCAAGAAAAAGAAAACCAGAAAAGAUUUGCUAAAGAUUUUAGAUUUGACCCCGUAACGACUUGUUCCCGCCAACGCGGGACGGAGUUAGAAAAUGCGACGUUAUUAUUUUCUAGCUAAUACGCCGACCUCCUAAUUCGUUUAAAGCGAAUGGAGGAAGAUAUAGUCUACACACAUAGUGAUAUGUGAUUAUGUGACGAGAGGACCGGGAUGAACAUACCUCUGGUCUACCAGCUUUGGUACCAACUGAAGCGCUGGGUAGCUAUGUAUGGAAGGGAUAAGCGCUGAAAGCAUCUAAGCACGAAGCCUACCCCAAGAUUAGGUGUCUGUCCGGUGCAAAUCGGACAGCGGUUCGUAGAAGACUACUACGUUGAUAGGCUCUAGGUGUAAGCAUCGUAAGGUGUUUAGCCGAGGAGUACUAAUAAACCGUCUGCGCCCUCAAC
rnacentral:ncRNA from 1 species